CCUACGGGAGGCAGCAGUGAGGAAUAUUGGUCAAUGGGCGCGAGCCUGAACCAGCCAAGUCGCGUGAAGGAGGACUGCCCUACGGGUUGUAAACCUCUUUUAUAAAGGAAUAACGUGAGCCACGUGUGCCUUUUUUGAGGUACUCCAUGAAUAAGGCUCGGCUAACUCCGUGCCAGCAGCCGCGGUAAUACGUAGGAUCCGAGCGUUAUCCGGAUUUAUUGGGUUUAAAGGGAGCGUAGAUGGGUAGUUAAGUCAGGUGUGAAAGUUUGGGGCUUAACCCUAAGAUUGCAAUUGAAACUGGCGGUCUUGAGUGCAGGAGAGGCAGGCGGAAUUCGUGGUGUAGCGGUGAAAUGCUUAGAUAUCACGAAGAACUCCGAUUGCGAAGGCAGCAUGCUAGACUGCCACUGACGUUGAUGCUCGAAAGUGUGGGUAUCAAACAGGAUUAGAUACCCUGGUAGUC
rnacentral:rRNA from 1 species